AAGGUAACGGCUUACCAAGGCAACGAUACGUAGCCGACCUGAGAGGGGAUCGGCCACACUGGAACUGAGACACGGUCCAGACUCCUACGGGAGGCAGCAGUAGGGAAUCUUCCAAUGGGCGAAAGCCUGACGGAGCAACGCCGCGUGAGUGAUGAAGGUCUUCGGAUCGUAAAACUCUGUUAUCAGGGAAGAACAAAUGUGUAAGUAACUGUGCACAUCUUGACGGUACCUGAUCAGAAAGCCACGGCUAACUACGUGCCAGCAGCCGCGGUAAUACGUAGGUGGCAAGCGUUAUCCGGGAAUUAUUGGGCGUAAAGCGCGCGUAGGCGGUUUUUUAAGUCUGAUGUGAAAGCCCACGGCUCAACCGUGGAGGGUCAUUGGAAACUGGAAAACUUGAGUGCAGAAGAGGAAAGUGGAAUUCCAUGUGUAGCGGUGAAAUGCGCAGAGAUAUGGAGGAACACCAGUGGCGAAGGCGACUUUCUGGUCUGUAACUGACGCUGAUGUGCGAAAGCGUGGGGAUCAAACAGGAUUAGAUACCCUGGUAGUCCACGCCGUAAACGAUGAGUGCUAAGUGUUAGGGGGUUUCCGCCCCUUAGUGCUGCAGCUAACGCAUUAAGCACUCCGCCUGGGGAGUACGACCGCAAGGUUGAAACUCAAGGGAUUUGACGGGGACCCGCACAAGCGGUGGAGCAUGUGGUUUAAUUCGAAGCAACGCGAAACCUUACCAAAUCUUGACAUCCUUUGACCGCUCUAGAGAUAGAGUCUUCCCCUUCGGGGGACAAAGUGACAGGUGGUGCAUGGUUGUCGUCAGCUCGUGUCGUGAGAUGUUGGGUUAAGUCCCGCAACGAGCGCAACCCUUAAGCUUAGUUGCCAUCAUUAAGUUGGGCACUCUAAGUUGACUGCCGGUGACAAACCGGAGGAAGGUGGGGAUGACGUCAAAUCAUCAUGCCCCUUAUGAUUUGGGCUACCCACGGUGCUACAAUGGACAAUACAAAGGGCA
rnacentral:rRNA from 1 species